rnacentral:piRNA from 1 species
UUUUGGCAUAACUGCAGCAUUGG